AGUCACUGACAUUAGACUACCCGGUAGUCCCAGCCGUAAACUAUGCUCGCUAGGUGUCAGGCAUGGCGCGACCGUGUCUGGUGCCGCAGGGAAGCCGUGAAGCGAGCCACCUGGGAAGUACGGCCGCAAGGCUGAAACUUAAAGGAAUUGGCGGGGGAGCACAACAACGGGUGGAGCCUGCGGUUUAAUUGGACUCAACGCCGGACAACUCACCGGGGACGACAGCAAUAUGUAGGCCAGGCUGAAGACCUUGCCUGAAUCGCUG
rnacentral:rRNA from 1 species